CCCCCUGACACUCCCUUCGCUCCCCCCUCCACCACGCGGACGGACGCGGAGGCAAGGGCCAGCCCGCUCGACGCUUUGGGGUUAGCGGAGGCGUAGAGGGCAGGAGGAGGGCCGCCGCGGCAGGAGUCACGCGCGGCGCCGCCGGUCGCUCGGUGGCCCGGCUCCCUCCUCUUCCCGCCGCCAACGACGCAACCGGCGAGCGAAGGGCUCCAUCGUAAGCGCGAGCGGGAGGCGAGCGGCCGAGGGCAGGGCGCGCGCUGGUGCCGUCUAGCUGGGCGCUCGAGCGGAACCUGCGCGGACGAGGCACGCCACUCCUCCCCCGCGACUGGCCGCGCCGCCAACGAAGAGCACCUUCGAAGCCCCCCGCGCCGUGCCGGGCUAGGCCAAACCAGACUCUCGUCCGCCGCCGUUACAGCCGGCGCCCCCUCCUGUAUCACGUCGUGGAGAGCAGCUUAAGGUUGGGCAGGAGCAGGUUCGAGCGGUUCGAGCUCCGCGCGUACCGGCCGUUCCGGCAGAGCCACGGCGGGGGCAGCGGCGGCGUGGUGGGCCACCAGAGGCGGCGGAGCCGGGGGUGGAAGUACCUGGUCCUCCUCGACGGGCUCAGGAGGAGGAGAAGCCUACUACUAUUACCGCUCCUCAAGAACUAUGUCUUCUUGUGUGACUUCGCAGGCUCUAGGGGCCUGCUACUGGUGCCGGAUCGAGAACCUUUAAAACUCCCUAGUCGAUUACGCCGUCGUUUUCAUAAUCUACAGCGCCUGCGUGCUGACGGAAGCCUUUUGGGUUCGUCUUUUUUCGUUCCGGCACCUUCCCCUGCACCACCUUGUCCGGCUCCCGCACCGAGUUUCUGCCAACUAGUUUGUGCGGUAUGAAGCCGAAGGAGUCAUUGACGUAGUUUACCAGUUGUACUGUUUAAUUUGUUGUACCUAAGGGCUUGUUCACAAGAUGGACCCUUACUACUGUCCUGACGAAAUGUGCUUCUUAAUAGUGACAAUGCACCAUUUCAACGUAAAAACCUCCUCCUCGAAUUGUUUAGCGCAGUUCUUCGUUGCCUCGUAGCGGUUGAAUCACUAUCCAAUCGAUUCCUUAACUUCCUAAAGUUCCUAGUUCUAGUUGUUUUCUUUAGUUUCGUUUACUUCCAGGACAGACUAGACGAGUAUCGUCAUAGUUUUCGUCUUUCCGUUCUUCGUGCCUACUUCAAUUUCGUCCUUAGAAAGUCUGAGCCCUUGUAACCACAAUACUCUCGACCCUGACAGUAUAGACUUUGUACCCUCCUACCGGUCCGUUAUUUCCUGGAAUUACGCGUAGAAUUUAGUAACGACCUUUGAUUUCUCCGACAACUUUCUGUAGCAUUCAGAGAUUUCUUUUCUGUUAGUAGACUAUUCCCACUGCCCUCACUACGACUUUUAUCGUACAGGCUCCUUCUAAAGGAGAAUGUCCUACUCUAUACAUUUAGAGCCAAUUGUUCAUAGUUCGCCCUCCUUCUUGUCAUAGACGCUCUUUCUCUAGCUAUACUUAACCUUUUCCCAUCCGAAUAUGCACUUUACUUCGCAGAGUCUCUACUCCUACCUAGGGCGAAAUUAUUGAAAGUUUAAGAAGUGGUAGCUAUACGAGACAAUUUAGAAGAACCUUUCCCUCCCAAAUCACUCCACAUGUUCCGAAAACUGAACCACCUUAUGUUCAUGCACCGGACAUUCGAAGUACCAAACUUACGAGUCACCUCACUCCUCUUUUUCGUUUCGAUGUAUGCCGUACGCUAAGCACUUAUAUUAUAGGUAUUCUGAGACCACGUAUGUUUGUAACAGUCCGAUACCCUGUAUAAGCUCUAACUAGUGUUGUGUAAGACGUGACAGGAUCUUAUAACGUCGCCGUUCCUAGAGCUACGUCAGGAAUUUCGUUGCGGUUAAGAAGGUCUUUUCCUUCGUUCUUAGUAUUAACAAGUUCAUAAAGUCCCGGAACAAAUAGAAUUGUUUUUCCGAGUUUUCUAGUAGGUGAUACUGGAGUUUGGUCCGUUGCAGGAGAAGCUGCUUCAACCACAAUGCUUUCAGUGUCUGAAACCGGAAUCGUUCUAUCACCUCCUACUGCAACCCAGAGUCCCUUACCUUGAGUGAAGAGUCCCUCGACCUUGGAUAACCAUAGACGGUGGUCUUACGAAACUAGAGUCGUCUUGUGGUAAAUAAAGUAGAUUCCACCUACAAACCAGUCGGCCACACUACAAAAUAGUCUACGAUAUACCCUCCGCAGGAAAACCGGUACUGGUCUGGGUUCUCUCUUAUGAAGCUCUUCUAUGUUAAUAGUUGCGUGCGUUCCACCUUAAGGGAAGCUUCGGUUGACAUAGUUUGCUUCGCUUCCUUGACUAUGCGGCAACGAACUGUAUGUUAGUUAGCCUCUCCGGUCUGCAAGACAGUUAUCGAGUUCUAGGAAUAGAGAGAAUACGUUUCUCCAUCUGUGACGUGCAGACCCGUACUGAUGUGAUGUUCUGCUUCCUAAAAAACCUCCAACCCGUCGGUGAGGGUUUACCACAUUGACAUGUAUAACAUGUAAAGCCCAACCAGAGCAUUUGACGCUACUGGGUUACAGACGAGAAAAGUCAAAUCUCCUUCAUCCCGUAGCCAAAACUCCCCGUACGUGAAGAGAACUACGAGAACACGGCGGGGAGGAACGCAUUACCCUACAAACAAAAACGAUCGCUGGGACGACUACCAAGGAAAUUUCCGACAUAAAUAAGCAUGCCAGGUGAUCCCUGACCCGAGACGGUUUGUGUGUAAGUAGUCUCUACCCUUGGCAGCUACAAGUGUUUUUGGAAACACUACGUGAUACAGGCGGGCCUAUACAAGCAAGAUAGAGCCAACAGAUUUAACCCACACCAGUC
rnacentral:rRNA from 1 species